CAGUCGCCGCGGUAAUACGUAGGUGGCAAGCGUUGUCCGGAAUCAUUGGGCGUAAAGGGCUCGCAGGCGGUUUCUUAAGUCUGAUGUGAAAACCCCCGGCUCAACCGGGGAGGGUCAUUGGAAACUGGGAAACUUGAGUGCAGAAGAGGAGAGUGGAAUUCCACGUGUAGCGGUGAAAUGCGUAGAGAUGUGGAGGAACACCAGUGGCGAAGGCGACCCUCUGGUCUGUAACUGACGCUGAGGAGCGAAAGCGUGGGGAGCGAACAGGAUUAGAUACCCCAGUAGUCCCUGUCUCUUAUAC
rnacentral:rRNA from 1 species